CGCACAGCUGUCCAACUUCUGCCCCCUGGCGGCCAUCCCGAGGAGCAGCGCCCGGGGUCUCCUCGCCGCCGGACGGUCCGCCCCGCCGCCCGCGGUCGGGCCGCAGUGCGCCGGCUCCUCGCGAGUUCGAAACAGUUGGGAGUUGGACCCACUCCAGCUUCGGCUCUGGGAGGCCCUCUGAGGGGCCUGCCCUCCUGGGGCCAUGAAGAAGGCAGUCCUAAAAAACAAAAAAGAAAAACAAACUGGCUUCAGCGUCAAGUCUUCUGUGCACAACUUGAGCAAAACUCAGCAGACCAAACUCACUGUGGGGAACCUAGGCUUGGGCCUGAUCGUCAUCCAGAACGGGCCCUACCUCCAGAUCACCCAUCUCAUCCGGAAGGGGGCUGCGGCCAGGGAUGGAAAACUCAAGCCAGGUGAUGUUCUGAUUAGUGUUGGCCAUGCCAAUGUGUUAGGAUAUACUCUUCGAGAAUUUUUAAAACUUUUGCAACACAUCACCAUAGGAACAGUACUACAGAUCAAGAUUUACCGAGAUUUUAUUGACAUACCACAAGAGUGGCAAGAAAUCUAUGAUUUAAUCCCUGAGACCAAAUUCCCAGUAACGCGCCCAACAAAGACAACUGAGGAGUCAAAAGAUGACCUUUUGGCAAGCAGUGGUGACAACGAAGAUGUAGUUUCAGAUAAAAAACUUAAGUAUUAUAAAGACCCAGGGUCCACUGGGCCUCAGUCUGCAACAAGACCGAUGUCUAUCUCCAGAGAGUGGCAUGGAUAUAAGAAGAAGAACCAUACCAUUAGUGUAGGGAAGGACAUCCAGUGUGACGUGAUGAUUCACAGAGAUCACAAGAAAGAAGCGAGAGCCCCUUCUCCAUACUGGACAAUGGUGAAGCACGACAAGGAGAGCUCCUCCUCCUCCACGGUCUCCUCCACCUCGGAUGCAUUUUGGAUGGAAGACUACGCCCAGGCUGAAAAGAGCAAGGUUCCACCUGUAUCGAAAGCUGCCACCCAGGCUGAAAAGAGCAAGGUUCCACCUGUAUCGAAAGUUGCUUAGGAGAAAGUCUGCAAGUUGGUGAUCACAUAAGCAUCUAUCUUGGACACACCCAACUUUUGUGCAUUGCUCUGUACAGGUUUGCUAUACUGAGAGUAAUAUGUGCAGACUUCACAAUUCUUUCACAAGUGCAUUGUAAUGCCUUCAGAGACCUUCUUCCAUGUGAUAGCCAAACACUGCCCUGGGGCCAGACAGGCCUCACCACCUUAUUCUCAAAAUAGGAAUGUCAUUCACAUCAUUCACACACUCCCUUCUGAGAAAAAUGUCUCAUCUUUUACAAAAUGCAGCAGAGGAACCCAGGAUCAGAAUGCAUGAACAUAGAGAGAAUUUCACUUUUUAAGGUAGAGCUGUUGGUGAGAAGAUGGCUGAGACCUCUACGAUGCAAGAGGAGUUAACAUUUUUAAUAUAGAAAGAACUGGGGAAAACCCACUGAUUUUGGGUUUAUUCUGUAGUUCAUAUAUUUGUUAGGUACAAUAGAGAAUACAAAAAGGUAUAAGACGUAGUCCUUGCCCUCAAAACAACUGAAUCUCACAAUAAUAUAUGUUAAAAAAAAAAUACACCAAUAGCAGGAGGAAUGUCUUCGGCUGAGAAGAUGAACAGAAAUCCCAAGAUGCUGGGGCGUGCAGGACUGGCACAACAGAGUUUAUUUCUUGGGAGGAGAAUCACAUAAAAAUCACAUGAAAUUGCCACUAUUCAACUCUUCUUGACCCUUUGGAAUUUGAAAUGGUUUAAUCUAUUGGUACUUUAGCUGAAUGAGGAAGCUACACACACCGAGCUGACAAGGAAGCCAUCUGCAGAUGUGAUGGGAAUGAGCCCCUCCCACCACCACACCAGGGAGGCACCAAACUUCAGGACAGGGACAUACACAGCCCAGGGGAGCUUAUGCAUGCCUUCUGUGAUUGGAUCACUAAGGUCAAAUUAUUUGAUGUAGAAUCAGAAGUUUUUAUUCGCUCACGUUUACGACAUCGGCGUCAGCUACGGAGUCUAUCUGCUGAAGGACUGUGGCUGGUGGCGUGUACGAUCCUGCACCCAGCGCCUGGGACCCGACUUCAUCCAGGAACCCCUCAGAAGACUCCACUGACAUUAGGUAGCCAGCUUUCAGCUUGUUCCUGUCCAGUAAAAGGUAUGUAACUAAGGCAGAAGCAGUUUUAUAAGAGCAAGGCAAUUUGAAAGUAUGUUCUCAAACUCAAACCAAAUAAAGUAUGUUUUCAAACUCAAA